rnacentral:rRNA from 1 species
UAGCGUAUAUUAAAGUUGUUGCAGUUAAAAAGCUCGUAGUUGAAUUUCGGGGUUAGUAGGUUGGUCAUGCCUCUGGUAUGUACUGGUCUCACUGAUUCCUCCUUCCUGAUGAGCCGUAAUGCCAUUAAUUUGGUGUUGCGGGGAAUUUGGACUGUUACUUUGAAAAAAUUAGAGUGUUUAAAGCAGGCA